UACGAAGGGGGCUAGCGUUGCUCGGAAUCACUGGGCGUAAAGGGUGUGUAGGCGGUUGUUUUAAGUUUGGUGUGAAAUCUCCCGGCUCAACUGGGAGGGUGCGCCGAAUACUGAAUGACUAGAGUGCGGGAGAGGAGAGUGGAAUUCCUGGUGUAGCGGUGAAAUGCGUAGAUAUCAGGAGGAACACCGGUGGUGUAGACGGCUCUCUGGACCGUAACUGACGCUGAGGCACGAAAGCGUGGGUAGCAAACAGG
rnacentral:rRNA from 1 species